CCUACGGGGGGCAGCAGUGGGGAAUUUUGCGCAAUGGGCGAAAGCCUGACGCAGCAACGCCGCGUGGGUGAUGAAGGUCUUCGGAUCGUAAAACCCUGUCGUCGAGGACGAAGGUGGGGGUGUUAAUAGCAUCCUUGCUUGACGGUACUCGGAGAGGAAGCCCCGGCUAACUCUGUGCCAGCAGCCGCGGUAAUACAGAGGGGGCAAGCGUUAUUCGGAAUGAGUGGGCGUAGUUGGCGCGGAGGCAGGUGUAAUCCCCGAGCUCAACUUGGGAACUGCAUCUGAGACUGGAAGGCUAGAGUACUGGAGAGGGUGGUAGAAUUCCACGUGUAGCGGUGAAAUGCGUAGAGAUGUGGAGGAAUACCAGUGGCGAAGGCGGCCACCUGGACAGUAACUGACGCUGAGGCGCGAAAGUGUGGGUAGCAAACAGGAUUAGAUACCCGGGUAGUC
rnacentral:rRNA from 1 species